UUAUAAGUUAGUGGCGGACGGGUGAGUAACGCGUGGAAAACCUGCCGUAUACUGGGGGAUAACACUUAGAAAUAGGUGCUAAUACCGCAUAACAACAGAAAGCGCAUGCUUUUUGUUUGAAAACCAAGGUGGUAUGGGAUGGACCCGCGUCUGAUUAGCUGGUUGGCGGGGUAAAGGCCCACCAAGGCGACGAUCAGUAGCCGGCCUGAGAGGGUGGACGGCCACAUUGGGACUGAGACACGACCCAGACUCCUACGGAAGGCAGCAG
rnacentral:rRNA from 1 species